rnacentral:rRNA from 2 species
UGCAGUCGAACGAACUCUGGUAUUGAUUGGUGCUUGCAUCAUGAUUUACAUUUGAGUGAGUGGCGAACUGGUGAGUAACACGUGGGAAACCUGCCCAGAAGCGGGGGAUAACACCUGGAAACAGAUGCUAAUACCGCAUAACAACUUGGACCGCAUGGUCCGAGCUUGAAAGAUGGCUUCGGCUAUCACUUUUGGAUGGUCCCGCGGCGUAUUAGCUAGAUGGUGGGGUAACGGCUCACCAUGGCAAUGAUACGUAGCCGACCUGAGAGGGUAAUCGGCCACAUUGGGACUGAGACACGGCCCAAACUCCUACGGGAGGCAGCAGUAGGGAAUCUUCCACAAUGGACGAAAGUCUGAUGGAGCAACGCCGCGUGAGUGAAGAAGGGUUUCGGCUCGUAAAACUCUGUUGUUAAAGAAGAACAUAUCUGAGAGUAACUGUUCAGGUAUUGACGGUAUUUAACCAGAAAGCCACGGCUAACUACGUGCCAGCAGCCGCGGUAAUACGUAGGUGGCAAGCGUUGUCCGGAUUUAUUGGGCGUAAAGCGAGCGCA